GAACUGCUGAGGAGUUCCACAAUAGGACGAAACGGCCGUCCAGUGC
rfam:Schistosoma mansoni strain Puerto Rico chromosome 4, complete genome